GACGAACGCUGGCGGCGUGCUUAACGCAUGCAAGUCGAACGGAAAGGCCCUGCUUUUGUGGGGUGCUCGAGUGGCGAACGGGUGAGUAACACGUGAGUAACCUGCCCUUGACUUUGGGAUAACUUCAGGAAACUGGGGCUAAUACCGGAUAGGAGCUCCUGCUGCAUGGUGGGGGUUGGAAAGUUUCGGCGGUUGGGGAUGGACUCGCGGCUUAUCAGCUUGUUGGUGGGGUAGUGGCUUACCAAGGCUUUGACGGGUAGCCGGCCUGAGAGGGUGACCGGCCACAUUGGGACUGAGAUACGGCCCAGACUCCUACGGGAGGCAGCAGUGGGGAAUAUUGCACAAUGGGCGGAAGCCUGAUGCAGCAACGCCGCGUGCGGGAUGACGGCCUUCGGGUUGUAAACCGCUUUCGCCUGUGACGAAGCGUGAGUGACGGUAAUGGGUAAAGAAACACCGGCUAACUACGU
rnacentral:rRNA from 1 species